ACCAGCUCCAUGAGGCCAGGUGUGCUGUGUGCUGGUUCACCAGCACCAGGUAGACCGUGGGCAUCAAGGUUCAUGUGAACAGGGGAACCCAGCAAGGCUGGACCCCUGCAGUGGUGAUUUCUCCUGAAAGGCACGUGGAUGGGUGGUGUUGACCAAACAGCUGUGAUUACAUUUUCUCUCAGGAAGUCUGAAUCCAGGACACUUACUUACUCAAAGGCAAUUCUCUCCAAAAAUUACUUUUUUGUGAAAACCUGUUUCAGGGCUUGAUUCACAUGUUGUUCGUGGCAGAGAAUGAAGUGUCUCUUUUCUCUUCCUUAGUGCUGUGUUUUCUUCCUAUGAAAAGAAAAAAAGAAAAGACUCCAGAUGGAGAGCCUCAAAUUGUCGGCAGAUUUGAAACUCCCCUGGAAUUUGUAUUGGUGAUGCAGAGUUUGGUGCAGACUGACAAUACGCAGCUGUGAUUCUUUUAAACAACACUGGACUCUAGGUGACCAUCAUGCUUCCUGGGGGCAGCUGCACACAAGUCAGUAUAAAGCGGAGAAAGUAACACCAGUAGGUUAAGAUAACAGUGACACAGCAAAAGAGGAAGACCCUAUUUAAGAAGUGGUACAACCCAUGGGAAUUUAAAAACAGGAUGUACCAGUCCUCUCUUGCCAAUACUGUACUAUGUGCAAGUUUUGAUUACCUG
rnacentral:lncRNA from 1 species